rnacentral:rRNA from 1 species
UACAGAGGUCUCAAGCGUUGUUCGGAUUCAUUGGGCGUAAAGGGUGUGUAGGUGGCGCUGUAAGUCGGGUGUGAAAUUUCGGAGCUUAACUCCGAAACUGCAUUCGAUACUGCGGUGCUUGAGGACUGGAGAGGAGACUGGAAUUCAUGGUGUAGCAGUGAAAUGCGUAGAGAUCAUGAGGAAGACCAGUGGCGAAGGCGGGUCUCUGGACAGUUCCUGACACUGAGACACGAAGGCCAGGGAGCAAACGGG